AGGACGAACGCUGGCGGCGUGCUUAACACAUGCAAGUCGAGCGGUAAGGCCCCUUCGGGGGUACACGAGCGGCGAACGGGUGAGUAACACGUGAGUAAUCUGCCCUUCACCUCGGGAUAACCGCCGGAAACGGCGGCUAAUACCGGAUACGACCAGCCCUCGCAUGAGAUGCUGGUGGAAAGUCUUGUCGGUGAAGGAUGUGCUCGCGGCCUAUCAGCUUGUUGGUGGGGUAAUGGCCCACCAAGGCUUCGACGGGUAGCCGGCCUGAGAGGGUGACCGGCCACACUGGGACUGGGACACGGUCCAGACUCCUACGGGAGGCAGCAGUGGGGAAUCUUGCGCAAUGGACGAAAGUCUGACGCAGCGACGCCGCGUGGGUGAUGAAGGCCUUCGGGUUGUAAAGCCUGUGGGGAGGGACGGAAUAAGUUGCGGCUAAUACCCGCAGCGAUGACGGUACCUCCUUAGCAAGCACCGGCUAACUCUGUGCCAGCAGCCGC
rnacentral:rRNA from 1 species